rnacentral:ncRNA from 1 species
UAAAGUGGCAAAAUUAGGGAAAUCUAAUGACGCAAAGCUAGAGGGUCUAAGGUCUUUUGACUAUGACAGCCAGUUGCCAA